rnacentral:rRNA from 1 species
GUGGGGAAUAUUGGACAAUGGGGGGAACCCUGAUCCAGCCAUGCCGCGUGUGUGAAGAAGGCCUUUUGGUUGUAAAGCACUUUAAGCGAGGAGGAGGCUACCGAGAUUAAUACUCUUGGAUAGUGGACGUUACUCGCAGAAUAAGCACCGGCUAACUCUGUGCCAGCAGCCGCGGUAAUACAGAGGGUGCGAGCGUUAAUCGGAUUUACUGGGCGUAAAGCGUGCGUAGGCGGCUUUUUAAGUCGGAUGUGAAAUCCCCGAGCUUAACUUGGGAAUUGCAUUCGAUACUGGGAAGCUAGAGUAUGGGAGAGGAUGGUAGAAUUCCAGGUGUAGCGGUGAAAUGCGUAGAGAUCUGGAGGAAUACCGAUGGCGAAGGCAGCCAUCUGGCCUAAUACUGACGCUGAGGUACGAAAGCAUGGGGAGCAAACAGGAUUAGAUACCCCAGUAGUCC